CCAGACUCCUACGGGAGGCAGCAGUGGGGAAUAUUGCACAAUGGGCGCAAGCCUGAUGCAGCGACGCCGCGUGCGGGACGAAGGCCUUCGGGUUGUAAACCGCUUUCAGCAGGGACGAAUUCCGACGGUACCUGCAGAAGAAGCACCGGCUAAAUACGUGCCAGCAGCCGCGGUAAUACGUAUGGUGCAAGCGUUAUCCGGAUUUACUGGGUGUAAAGGGAGCGUAGGCGGCGCGUUAAGUCUGAUGUGAAAACCCGAGGCUCAACCACGGGAGUGCAUUGGAAACUGGCGGGCUGGAGUGCCGGAGAGGUAAGCGGAAUUCCUAGUGUAGCGGUGAAAUGCGUAGAUAUUAGGAGGAACACCAGUGGCGAAGGCGGCUUACUGGACUGUAACUGACGUUGAGGCUCGAAAGCGUGGGGAGCAAACAGGAUUAGAUACCCGCGUAGC
rnacentral:rRNA from 1 species